AAUACAAGUAGAGAUAAGCAAUAGCUUUUUCUUUUUCUUAUAACCUAAAACCACUUUAUUAUAAACAUAAAUGAAUCAAAAGUAUAUAAUACCCAAAAAAAAAUAUAAUUGUACAAGUAAUGUCUCUUCAUUCCAUCAACAUUUAACAUAAAAAGGAUUAAUGAAUUUUCUCCAUUUGCACUAAUAGAAGAUACUGAUAAUAUUUAUAAAAUAUUUUCUUGUCCAUAUUGCAUGAUGAAAAUUAUAUAUACUACAUACCUUGGAUAGUUUCUCACGAGCCUCAAGACAAAGUCGUCAUUGCAUAGUAAUCCAAGUCCUCUCUGGUAGUGGUCUGUGUUGCUGAUAAGCCAUCUACAAAUACAAUAAGGAAAAAUCUAUGAUAGAUUAAACAGACAAGUAUAUGCCCAGAAAUUUAGACAUGACAAAUUAUUCCAAAUAGGAAAUGAAAGGCAAUAAGUCACAAAAUAUGGAUCAUUCACCUGCUAGAGCUGGCUCUGCUGCAGCAUAAUAAAGCCCUCAUACUUGAUAUCAAUGUCCACACAUUCUUUCUCUAUUUUGGACAGAAGUUCAUUUCCAAAACCAUGUUUAUCCAGAACUUUAUAUUGUACAUGCGGUUUCUUAAGAAUACUCUCCAGAGUUGAGGAGUCCUACACUGGCCGACCAGACAAAUGAGUAACAUCAGCAGCCAAAUCUCCCCCUGAAAGUCAAAAAAACCACAAUAAGCAACUUGGAUCUCCACAAUAUAUCUCCAAGCUCAAGACAUCCUAACUUAUUUUCUUUUAAUAAAUAAACUGUCCCAAGUUCAAUGUUUUUUAUUUUUUAUUUUUUUUAUUUUUCUCUAAUAGGCAAAAAUUCAUGAUAGUAAAUAAGUGCCAAAAAAUAGGGUGCCAACACAAGUGUAUAUUAAGUACACGAAAUUUGUUUAUAGGUGAAAGAGGAAAGAAAAAUAAAAGAAGAGACCACCCUACUAACAUAAUCCUAAAGAAUCAAUGAAAUCUAGCAAGACAAGGAGCCAGCUCCAAGUGACUCUCUAGACCAACAAAAAAGAGCAUAAAUAAAAGAGUCUUUAAGUUAUUGAUCCAAACAGCCCAAAUGAUUGAAAGAUCUACAAUUGUGCUCUUGCCAAAUGGUCCAAAAUAGAUAUAAAGGGGUUGUCCUCCAAACCUUGCUAUACUUCUUUCUAACAAAACUCUCAUGCCAACACAAUAAUAUCUCCCUCCUAGAUUGGAAAAGCAUCCAGGAGAUACCAAAAAUAGAGAAUAUAUAAGAUGCUGAAGGACCCUAGGUGUGCCACAAAGAAUGAGAAUAUGAUGAUCAAUUCUUCCUCACUCUCACACAAACAACCUAACCUGCUAGCAUGUGUCCUCUCCUUUUAUGUAGUUUUAUAUGUAGCAUCUUUUUCCAGUUAGCCUCCUGAGAAAAGGAACUCACUUUUGUAGGAGUGCAUGAAACACAAACUAGCUUGGGAGGAAAAGAACCUCUCUUCUUAGUCUUCAAAGAGCAGCAGAAAUAUUUGAUUCAGAACUUCCUGUUCUUGAUACAGCCCAUAUCAUCUUAUCCUCACCAUCGCUAUGCACCACCACCUCUUGAAUCCUCAAGGAAUAGCUCUAAAGUAUUGAACUCCCAAUCAUGAAACUAUCUCAAACAAGACAAGUUCCAAGGCCCCUACCACUAGAAUUAUCCCAACUAUCAACUACCCAAGCUUCCUUACAAUUGCAAUGGCGACCAAGGAGGGGGAAGGAGACAGUCAGCUAAGAAGCACUAUACCAUACAUCAUGGCAAAAUUGAACUCCUUCCAUCACCCACAGCUAAGUUAGUCCUUACCUCAAAUACAUCUAUCCUAAUCACUUUCUAUUGAGUGAGAGAAAAAAAUGUGCCUUACUCAACGAGAAAAGAGUAUAGAGCAUGUAUAUAGACUUUAACAAAAAAAAAAAAAAAAAAAAGAUUAAUCCACCCUUUACCAAAUAACUACUAAUGACUUUUUAACAUUUAAAGUUUUAAUAAACACAUCACCUGUUGUAAGGAGUUAUCACUUUCUUUCUCAUCACAAUUUCUUUGAUAAAAUGAUAGUCUACUUCCAUAUGUUUGGUUCUUCCAUGAAACAUUGAAUUACUAGCGUUAUGAAUAGCAAUCUGAUUAUCACAAUACAUAAUCAUGGGCUUUUUAAGAGAAAAUCCAAGCUCCUGUAACAGGUUCUAAAUCCACAUUAACUCACACACUGGAUGUGCCAUGGCCCUGUAUUCUGAUUCACCACUAAAUAUAGCCACUACAUUAUGUUGUUUACUCCUCCAUAUAAACAGAUUACCACAAAUGAACUGACUCAUUAUUCUAAUAGGAAAAAUAAUGUCAAGUCUGGUGACUGUCAAAUAAAUGAGCUUGCCCACUAGACUUUGAUGUCUUCUUUUAUCUGAAAACAAAGUUAUCAUCUCCAUUAAGAUUCUUGUUUUGCUCCAUAGGAGUGUCAGUUGGCUACUCCUAAAAUGUCAAUUUUACUAAGCAAGUCCAAUACAUACUUCAUUUGGGACAAAACAAUCUCAACUCUAGCAUGUGAACUUGGCCUAGGAAGUAAUGCAAUAGCCUAAGAUCCUUUGUCUGAAAUAUUUUUUUCAAGUAACCUUUCACUUCUUCAAUACUUGUAACAUCACCAAAGACAAUAAUAUCAUCCAUGUAUAUAAUCGGUACUACCAUGCCAGUGUUCCUCUUGAGAACAAAUACGGAGUUGUCAAAUUUUCAUCUUCUAAAACUAAAUGAUAGAAGAAUAGGACUCGAUUUAUCAAACCAAGCUUUAGGAGAUUGCUUUAAUCCAUAAAUAAUUUUAUUUAGUUUGCAAACUCUAAC
rnacentral:lncRNA from 1 species